GCUGGCAUGGUAUAGUAGUUAAGACACUCCCCUCCCAUUCUUAAAUAGAAGGCAAGGGAGAAACCCGGGUGCAAAUCCCGGUGCUAGCA